AAAUGAAUUGACGGGGGCCCGCACAAGCGGUGGAGCAUGUUGCUUAAUUCGAGGCAACGCGAAGAACCUUACCCGGGUUUGACAUGCUUCCGGCCGGCGUUGAAAGACGCCCUUCCCUCGGGACGGAAGCACAGAUGCUGCAUGGCUGUCGUCAGCUCGUGCCGUGAGGUGUUCGGUUAAGUCCGGCAACGAGCGCAACCCGUGCCGCCAGUUGCCAUCAGGUGACGCUGGGGACUCUGGCGGGACCGCCCGUGUCAAGCGGGAGGAAGGCGCGGAUGACGUCAAGUCCGUAUGGCUCUUACAUCCGGGGCUGCAAACGUGCUACAAUGGCCGGCACAAUGGGCCGCCGCCCCGCGAGGGGCGGCCAAUCCCCAAAACCGGCCCCAGUUCGGAUCGCAGUCUGCAACUCGACUGCGUGAAGUCGGAAUCGCUAGUAAAGGGACAUCAGCAACGGUCCCUUGAAUACGUUCCCGGGCCUUGCACACACCGCCCGU
rnacentral:rRNA from 1 species